GUAGGAUAAGCUAAGCACACUGUUGGUUAUGUGUGCCCAAGCAUUGAGGCAGUCAAAGUAGGCAAAUCCGCUUUGAUAAUGCUGGGAUGUGAUGGGGAGCGAAAUUUAGUAGCGAAGUAGCUGAUUUCACACUGUCAAGAAAAGUCUCUAUCGAGGUUAAAGGUACCCGUACCGCAAACCGACACAGGUGGGUGAGGAGAGUAUCCUAAGGCCAGCGAGAGAACUGUUGUUAAGGAACUCGGCAAAAUGACCCCGUAACUUAGGGAUAAGGGGUGCCACCAUCAGGUGGCCGCAGAGAAUAGGCCCAAGCGACUGUUUACCAAAAACAUAGGUUUCUGCUAAGUCGCAAGACGAUGUAUAGGAGCUGACGCCUGCCCGGUGCUGGAAGGUUAAGGGGAUCUGUUAGAGCAAUCGAAGCAGUGAACUUAAGCCCCAGUAAACGGCGGCCGUAACUAUAACGGUCCUAAGGUAGCGAAAUUCCUUGUCGGGUAAGUUCCGACCCGCACGAAAGGCGUAACGAUUUGGGCACUGUCUCAACAACAGACUCGGUGAAAUUGUAAUUCCGGUGAAGAUGCCGGAUACCUGCGACAGGACGGAAAGACCCCAUGGAGCUUUACUGUAGCUUGACAUUGGGUCUUGGUACUACAUGUACAGGAUAGGUGGGAGGCUUUGAAACCAGGACGCCAGUUUUGGCGGAGCCAUCCUUGGGAUACCACCCUUGUAGUACUGGGACUCUAACCAUAGGCCAUGAAUCUGGUCUUGGGACACUGUCAGGUGGGCAGUUUGACUGGGGCGGUCGCCUCCCAAAAGGUAACGGAGGCGCUCAAAGGUUCUCUCAGUACGGUCGGAAAUCGUACGUAGAGUGUAAAGGCAAAAGAGAGCUUGAUUGCAAGACAUACAGGUCGAGCAAGGAUGAAAAUCGGACUUAGUGAUCCGGUGGUUCUGCGUGGAAGGGCCAUCGCUCAACGGAUAAAAGCUACCCUGGGGAUAACAGGCUUAUCUCCCCCAAGAGUCCACAUCGACGGGGAGGUUUGGCACCUCGAUGUCGGCUCAUCACAUCCUGGGGCUGUAGUAGGUCCCAAGGGUUGGGCUGUUCGCCCAUUAAAGUGGUACGCGAGCUGGGUUCAGAACGUCGUGAGACAGUUCGGUCCCUAUCCGUCGCAGGCGUAGGAAAUUUGAGAAGACCUGUCCUUAGUACGAGAGGACCGGGAUGGACGUACCUCUGGUGUACCAGUUGUCCUGCCAAGGGCAUGGCUGGGUAGCUAUGUACGGAAUGGAUAAGCGCUGAAAGCAUCUAAGCGCGAAGCCAACUUCAAGAUAAGAUUUCCCACCGCAAGGGUAAGACCCCAGAAAGACUAUCUGGUUGAUAGGUCGAAGGUGUAAGUGCAGCAAUGUAUUUAGCUUAUCGAUACUA
rnacentral:rRNA from 1 species